UCACAAUGACCCCCCCACAGCAGGUUCGUGGAGCCGGACCCCAGCCACACACUGGAGGAGCGGGUGGUGCACUGGUAUUUCGCCCAGCUGGACGCCAACGGCAGCCAGGACGUCGGCAAGAAGGAACUGAAGCCUUUCAAAAGGUACCUGAAGAAGAAGGCCAAGCCCAAGAAGUGCGCCCGCAAGUUCAUCGACUACUGCGACCUGAACAAGGACAAGGCCAUCUCGCUGCACGAGCUCAAGGGCUGCCUAGGAGUCGGCAAGGACGGUGGUUCAACAGCCGGCAGCAACUACGGGACAAGGCAAGGGACAAAUGUGUUCACAGGUCGCCUGGUGUGAGAGGAGAAAGUUCCCGGAGCCGAGACGAGAGCAGAGGGCACAGAAGGAAGGCAUCAGCACGCUCGCAUGACGGUGAAAAAAAAAAAGACUGAUCGGAGAGAAAAUAACUUCCUGACUUGUUCUACACACACACACACACACACACACACACACACACACACACAUACGCGCAAAACAGAAGAAAAUGAAGCAGCGCCAAAAUAUUUGCACUUUCUCCUCCAUGUUUGCAUUUUGGUUUGCUUGUGGUGUUUCUGCCAAGAGUCAGAAUAUAUCUACAGUUAUAUGUAAAAGUCGUCACGUCACAAGUGGAGCAUGUGCAUAAAUGUUAGCAGUUAGCCGGCGAAAGUGCACAUGGCUCUCAACUAGGGAUGGGCAUCAUCUCGAUUGUUUAGAAAAAAAAAAAAGAAGUCCAAGGAUGGUGCGGAAUCGCGUCUCGAAGCAGCGCCGGGUCGAAAUUUGUGGUCUGCAAAAGACCGACACGACAUUGUGACAUUUAUGGGCAUUGAAACGGGGGGUUCAGAACAUUCAGAGUGAUUCUCAUGUCUCAUU